rnacentral:rRNA from 1 species
AUUGAACGCUGGCGGCAGGCCUAACACAUGCAAGUCGAGCGAGAGGCGGACGGGUGAGAAAUGUAUGGGGACUGCCCGAUAGAGGGGGAUAACUCCUGGAAACGGUAGCUAAUACCGCAUACUAUCGGAUAACCCAUAUGGGAUUAGCUAGUAGGUGAGGUAAUGGCUCACUUAGGCGACGAUCCCUAGCUGGUCUGAGAGGAUGAUCAGCCAGACUGGGACUGAGACACGGCCCAGGCUCAGCCGGAGGCAGCAGUGGGGAAUAUUGCACAAUGGGCGCAAGCCUGAUGCAGCCAUGCCGCGUGUAUGAAGAAGGCCCUAGGGUUGUAAAGUACUUGCAGUCGGGAGGCGUUACCGACAGAAGAAGUACCGGCUAACUCCGUGCCAGCAGCCGCGGUAAUUC